rnacentral:rRNA from 1 species
CAAGGGUCCGGCUGUUCGCCGGUUAAAAGGGUACGUGAGUUGGGUUCAGAACGUCGUGAGACAGUUCGGUCUCUAUCCAUCGUGGGCGCAGGAUAUUUGCGGGGAUUUGUCCUUAGUACGAGAGGACCAGGACAGACGAACCUCUGGUGUUCCAGUUGUCACGCCAGUGGCAAAGGCUGGGUAGCCACGUUCGGAAAGGAUAAGCGCUGAAAGCAUCUAAGCGCCAAGCCUACUCCAAGAAUAGAUAUCCCUUCCCGCUUCGGUGGGACUAAAGGCACCUUGAAGACUACAAGGUUGAUAGGCUCUGAGUGUAAGCACAGUAAUGUGUUCAGCUUAAGAGUACUAAUCUGCCGUGCGGCUUGAUCAC